rnacentral:pre_miRNA from 1 species
AGGGGGAGGCCGGAUCCUGGGCUGUGUCCUGGCGCCCUGUGCCCCGGGGCCUGCACUGUUGGCUCGCACUCCCGGCCGCGCAGCCCCCU